rnacentral:lncRNA from 1 species
UGGAUGUGUACUAGCUGUUGUAGUACCAUCAGUACUUAUAUAUGUUUUUUCUUCUAUUGUUUGAAUUUUAUUGAAUGAGGGAAUAGUAAUGUUUUUCUCUAAACACAUAUCCUUUAGCCAGUGAAAAAAUCCUAUAUUUAAUCUUUCUUUGUGUAAGAACUUAUUAUAUUUUUUAUGUAUUAAUUCCAGUAGUCUAGGUAGCUGAAAUCUUUUUAAAUACCAUUCUCGGAUAUUUUUGUUUUCUUCUGAUAAAUAAUCUUUUGUAAUAAAAGUUUUAUUUAAUUUUCUUUGUUUCCUUUCUAGCUUGGCUGCUAGAUAGGCUGCUAUAUACUCUUCUGAAUAUUGAUUAUUAUUUAUAUCAUCCUCAAGUUGUAAUGUACAAACUUGGAAAUCUUGUAAAUCUUGUAAACUUGUAAACUUCGCCUACUCUCAUCACCAUCCAAACUUCAUAGCACUGUCACAGUUAUCUGGUAGUAUUUUAUUUUUCAUUUUUUUUUUACAAAUCCAAAUUACUUGAAAUUUAAAGCGUAUGUACAUAUUAGUGAUGCGCACCUAAUAAAAAUAUGAAAAAAAAAAAUCACAAAAUAUAAAUUGAUCAAAAUUCCCCGUAAAUUUGUGGGGGCAUUUUGAUCAAUUUAUAUUUUUCGAAUUAUUUUUUUAUAUUUUUAUUAGGUGCGUCUCACUAAUAUGUACACACGCUUCAAAUUUCAGAUCAUUCCGAUUAUAAAAAAANNNNNNNNNNNNNNNNNNNNNNNNNNNNNNNNNNNNNNNNNNNNNNNNNNNNNNNNNNNNNNNNNNNNNNNNNNNNNNNNNNNNNNNNNNNNNNNNNNNNNNNNNNNNNNNNNNNNNNNNNNNNNNNNNNNNNNNNNNNNNNNNNNNNNNNNNNNNNNNNNNNNNNNNNNNNNNNNNNNNNNNNNNNNNNNNNNNNNNNNNNNNNNNNNNNNNNNNNNNNNNNNNNNNNNNNNNNNNNNNNNNNNNNNNNNNNNNNNNNNNNNNNNNNNNNNNNNNNNNNNNNNNNNNNNNNNNNNNNNNNNNNNNNNNNNNNNNNNNNNNNNNNNNNNNNNNNNNNNNNNNNNNNNNNNNNNNNNNNNNNNNNNNNNNNNNNNNNNNNNNNNNNNNNNNNNNNNNNNNNNNNNNNNNNNNNNNNNNNNNNNNNNNNNNNNNNNNNNNNNNNNNNNNNNNNNNNNNNNNNNNNNNNNNNNNNNNNNNNNNNNNNNNNNNNNNNNNNNNNNNNNNNNNNNNNNNNNNNNNNNNNNNNNNNNNNNNNNNNNNNNNNNNNNNNNNNNNNNNNNNNNNNNNNNNNNNNNNNNNNNNNNNNNNNNNNNNNNNNNNNNNNNNNNNNNNNNNNNNNNNNNNNNNNNNNNNNNNNNNNNNNNNNNNNNNNNNNNNNNNNNNNNNNNNNNNNNNNNNNNNNNNNNNNNNNNNNNNNNNNNNNNNNNNNNNNNNNNNNNNNNNNNNNNNNNNNNNNNNNNNNNNNNNNNNNNNNNNNNNNNNNNNNNNNNNNNNNNNNNNNNNNNNNNNNNNNNNNNNNNNNNNNNNNNNNNNNNNNNNNNNNNNNNNNNNNNNNNNNNNNNNNNNNNNNNNNNNNNNNNNNNNNNNNNNNNNNNNNNNNNNNNNNNNNNNNNNNNNNNNNNNNNNNNNNNNNNNNNNNNNNNNNNNNNNNNNNNNNNNNNNNNNNNNNNNNNNNNNNNNNNNNNNNNNNNNNNNNNNNNNNNNNNNNNNNNNNNNNNNNNNNNNNNNNNNNNNNNNNNNNNNNNNNNNNNNNNNNNNNNNNNNNNNNNNNNNNNNNNNNNNNNNNNNNNNNNACACACACACACACAUAUAUAUAUAUAUAUAUAUAUAUAUAUAUAUAUACACUAAAGAAAACAUUGGGGCGGACAAGGUUGGGCUAGAUCGGGCUAGUCUUGUUAUCGUUGUGGCCCUAACACGGCCCUUCUACUACGAUCACGUGUUCCUGGCCCUACUCAAGCCAGGCCGGCCCUAAUGCACUCAAAAAAAAAAAAGGAAUAAAUUAAGAAAAUUUCGGGUUGGACAAGGUCAGGACAGCCCAAUCUUGUUGUGGCCAUGGUCUUGGGGCCACAAUGACUUAUCUUUGGCCUUGGUCGGGACACUUAGGCCCUAAUAGACUAAAAAAUAUAUGAAAAAGUUAAAGAAGAAACCGGGCUGACAACGUAGGGCUGCCCUGGUGCAACUCUGGCGCUUCCUUGGCCUGCCUAAGGCCACGGUGGCUUGUCCGAGGCCCAGCCCUUUGGCCUUCAAUUUUUAGGGCUGGGAUUGGGCUCUUGGCGCAUUGCUAGCCGUGUAGCAAUCAAACCGAUUCUCAUCAGACUAGACGCCUCUUGGCCAAAUCUAAUACUAAUAAAUGCGAUCAUAAUGAUGAACUACGAAGUGACGGUAUCAAGUGCAUCGCAUGUUUGGGGGCUUGGUCACUAUAAUCCCAUAUUUUCUUAUUUAAUUUAGGAUUUUCUGAAGACUAGACCCCUCUUGGCCAAUCUAAUACUAAUAAAUGUGUUCAUAAUGAAGAACUACGACGUGAUACUGUCAAGUGCACCGCAUGUUUGGGGGGCUUGGUCACUAUAAUUCUUAUUUAAUUUAUGAUGGAUUAGUUUAUGCCUCGACGAUUGCAACAAUACAUCCAAGUUCAAAUCCUCCUUCUGCUAAACUACACAAAGUAAUCAAGGAAUAAAUGGCAUCCAAUGAAACGAUUAAUGCAUAAGGAAAAAAGAAAAAGAAAGCUUACCAAUUAUAUAAUUUAUAUCUUUCAUAGUUACUAAAUAGAGCACCAAUUAUAUCAAAUCACCGAAUCUAUCAUGGUUAUUUUGAAUAAGUGGUAAAACUAGAAAAGGGUGGAAACCAUAAUGAAUACAUAUGAAGGAACUUCGGUAUCACUUUAGUAGGCGAUAAGAAAAGUGAAAGUACCAUAUCCUGCAUCAACUUAAUACGAUAUUAGUAAGGAGCUGUGCUUUGGUUAAAGCGAAAGGACUAUAAAAGGGCAAAAUGAAUACCCAUAAGAGUAUGAAUAGAAGUAGUAAUAAAAAUUACGGUGACUUUUGAUUUUAUUGAAAAUAUGGCGCUGAUAAAAAAAAAUGGAAAAACAUAAUUUAUACAGCCCACCCAAAUAAUUAGGAUAAGAUUUGAAUGACGUGAUAGGUAUUAAAUAUAAAAUUUUAAAAGAUAUUGGAUUUUUUCGUUGAUUUUGAUGAAAUUAAAGUAUUAAUAACCAAUAAAUUUGUCAAAACUUGUCUUCAAAUUUUGAUUUGUACUUGGAAUUCAACAAGAAAAUGGAUAAAAAUCUGAGAAAUCAUAUUUUUCAUGAGGUGGCCGUCACAUGACAUAACAUCACUUCCAUGCUCUACACCAUCCCCAUGAAUUCUCUAAUCUCGGGUCCUUAUAACGUCAUCAUUGACGUGGCAUCUCUACCACCGACGAAACUCCCGUCACCCCUUCGUUGUUGCAUUUUCCGAAUAACGUGAAAUUCGCCGAAAUUGUCCAUCAAAUAUUUGGGGGAAUUUUGUAUAUGGCCUUUAGCAGGGCGGGCCUAGGCAGUUUAUCUUUGGCCAUGGCCUGGCCAUUAUCAACAUAGGACCGGACCAAGCCCAUCAUGGGCCCUAUUAGGGCUGGGGAUGAACAAAUAUAAAUGAAAGAAGAAUUUAAUAAAAAAUUUGGGAAAAAAGUAUUGUGCAGCCGAACGGGCCGUCUUUGGGAUUAAGCGGUCCUCGGGUCACAAUUUUGUCCCGCGAAACUUUCACCGAAAUGUGCGUGAUUUCGCAAGGUCCACCACCUUGAGGGCGGUUUCGGAGCACAGCACGUGCGGGGCCUACAGCUCGCACUUUCCUCAUUCUCGGCUUUGUCUUUUUCCAAAUUUAAAUUAGAGAAUAAAUGGAAGAAAAAAUAUGACAUCAGAGAGGUUGGCCCUCAAGAUGCAUGCGCGCGCUGUACGCGUGAAGGCGGGACGGUCCGGAUUUGUGGGGCCACUAGAGAAAUCGCAUCCGUUGGUUGUAGUCGUUUUGAUAUGAAGGUACAGGAUGCGUUGUAGGGUAAGGCACUAUCUGGUCUGCUGACAGUGGGACCCAGACGACUGACAAAUUCGUUGCCCAUUUGCUCAUAUCACAAUUCCCUCUCUCUCUCUCUCUCUCUCUCUCUCAUCUCGCGACACGAGGAAAGAAGGAUCUCUCCGACCCCGAACGUAAAACGAACGACGAAGAAAGAAAGAAGUACUACUUACUCGUCUACUUUAACUUACUACGUACUUAUUAUAGUAGUACUAACGUUAACUUUACCUNNNNNNNNNNNNNNNNNNNNGGUCGUUCGCGUCGUACGACGUAGGGUACCCGGACCGAACGACGUACGUACGAACUAACGUUACGUCCGACCUUAGUUCGUCUACUAUACUACACUACCUCCUCUCUCUCUCUCUCUCUCUCUCUCAUCUGGCGACACAGGAAAGAAGGAUCUCUCGGCCCCCAAUAAAAAGAGCAGAAAGAAGAUCAUUCUGCAUUUUAACUCAGCUUAUAUGGAUCAAGUAUUUCCAAGACAGUAAUGAAGUUAAUCUCGACCCCAUGGCAUGAAUAGAGAAGAAGCAAUAACAUAAACCCAGUCUUUAUUUUACCUUACUUCCAAUCUCUCUCCUGCAACUCCAAGUCGAAAAUGAACUCUUUAGAAUGGCAACAAGUAAGUGAGCACUUCUUCCGUCUCAUUUACUUACUGUGACAAGCUUUUCAUGCGUUUUUCUGCUCACUCCUAAUUGAACCAAAUUCAUUCUCUCUCUGAUGGAACAGGCCGAUCUAGUAAUGGUUAACCCCUUAGAAGACGUCAUCUCUUCACAGUCUAAGCAAUUAGGAGAGAGAAAGCUGAAGGCUCAAACCCCACAGUCCCCUAAUUGCCCAAGAUGCAACUCCACUAACACCAAGUUUUGCUACUAUAACAAUUACUCUCAUGCUCAACCGAGAUACUUCUGCAAAACUUGCAGAAGGUAUUGGACCAAAGGAGGUGCACUCAGAAAUGUACCGGUUGGAGGAGGUUGUAGAAAAAGCAAAAAGCCCAAUUCAACAAAAGCCUUACAAAAACCCACUUUGAAUUACAGCAAUGAACCCACUCUUUCUCUCUCUAAAACUAACCAUGGAAGCCCUUCCUUUCCUUCAUGUUAUGUGAUGCAAGAUGGGAACCAUGAAUUCUUCCUCCCAUUUCAAGGCAUUGGGUACUCUAGCGGGCCUGAUUUAUUGCAAGAAAGCAAGCCUUCUCUCUUGAUGUCUGACUUUGGGUGCAGAGAUGUGACCUCUUUCAUGGAGCCAAACCCCAGGCCAGCCCAUUUAGGUAAUCUAGGGUUUCAAAAUUUUGGGUCGUUUCUUAACCUUUCAAUGGAAGGGUUGAAUGGGUAUGGGUAUCAUCAAGGGAGUGACAGGGCCCUUUUCUCUCUAGAAAACCCAAAUGAUUCUUCUUCAAGGCCCGUCGACGAAUUCAAUGGUUUGCAAGAGAAGAUGGUGGAGACUGUAAUUGAUCCUUCUACUCAGCAGAAUGGAAUGGGAGUUUCAUGGCAUGGAGUUCAAAACUCGGGUUUCUCAGAGUUGCAGUCUUUCUUUUUUUGAUGAACUCAGAGUUGUAGUCUUUCAUGGCUGAUUUGAGGGCUUAGGGCCUUGUAACAGUCAAUGUAUAUUGAGUUUGUCUCUAUAUUGAUGGGAGAGUGAAUUGUAAGGGUAGAAAAUGUGAAGCUUCUUUUUAGUACUGCUUCAGUUCUUCAAUUUGUUUCUUCGCGGUUCAAACUUUUAGGGUUUGUGUUGCAGUUGGGAUCGAGAGAGAGAGUACGAGAAUGUAGAGUUUGUAAAACUUGGGAGUUUGAGUUUGACAGUCAUUAACAUGUUGUUUACACGGAUUAAAUCAGAGGCGAUGAAAUUUCCACGCUGUGAAAAGUUUGAAGUAUGGUUUCUCAUUGUUUCUCUCUGUUCCUCUUACUCCACCACUGUUCAAUAAAUCAGGCCAGUCGGCUCGGACUUGCCCGGGUAGUAUGGGCUCGCGACCGUGGUGAGCCUGAGUAAACCAGUACUGGUUGUCCAACUCCAGGAUAAAGAAAAUUCAAAAAAUUAAGAAAUCUAUUUGUAACAUGUUUUUUUUUUUGAAGUGUGUUUUACCAUUUUGGCAAAAAUUAAAAUGUACUUUGGAUAUGAAUGUUUAUUUUUAUAUUUUUCAUUUUUUUUGGAUAAUUAUGAAAAGAACCCCCGGUUAUAAAUAUAAUUUUCAAAAUUUAUUUAUUUUUUAACCUCAUUUAGAUGUAUUUUGUUAAUCUUACUUUAAACGUAUAGUUCCAAUGUUUUAGAUUUGUUUGGAUUUUUUUAAAAUUUCUAACACAUUUUAUCUUAGCCGACACCGGCCCAACUCAAGCCGGUUAUCCAUACCGGUUACGGGUUACCUGGACUGAGCCCAUGGCCGGUUUCUGCGGCCGGUUCAUGCAAUCGAACACUGAAAUCUGCUCUUAUCAAAAAAGCUUAACUAACCAUUCUCGACGUAAGCCACCAGGUAUUGGUUUUGGUUAGGACUGUGACUCCACAGAAAGAGAGAGGGAAUGUAUCUACUGACACAGAAACAAGGUGUAUGGAGAGAGAGAGAGAGAGAAAGAGAAGAAUUUGUGGAUUCAAUGAGGGAAUGUAUCAACUGACAAAGAGGUGAGAAAUGUAUUAUCUGAGAGAAAGAAGGGGAGGGGGCAAAGAGUGACAGAUAGGAAAUCUAUCAGCUUAGAGAGACAGAGAGGCCUUGUAUCUAUGUCGGAAGAGAGAGAAAAGAAUAUAUGGAUUCAAUGGGGGGAUUGUAUCGGCUGACAAAAAGAGAGGAGGUAUGUAUUUAUCUGUAGAGAGAGGCUUAUCAAUAUAUGUACGGCGUGGGUGUUGUGUGAGAGUGAUAGAGGAUCCGAUCGUUUCCCCGAGGUAACUGGGCUUUUCAAUGGCUUCUUGUUCAGAAAGCAUAUAAUCAAACCUCAAGCCAAGGGUGGCAACGGAUCGGGCCCGACUGGCCUGCCCUAGCCCUAGCCUUCGCUUGGCCCUUGUCACCAUAGGGCGAGGCUGGGUAGCCUAUUGGAAUUUUGGAAAGGCUCUCGUACCACUGUUGGUAUCUUUAAAAUAUGUGUGGCUGCAUCUAAAACUAUUUGGUUAUUUAAAAAACGUACCUACUCUUUUUUAAAACAAGGUUUCUUUUGGAGAUAUUAACUUCAAAUUUUGGAAAAAUAACUAUGAAUUCAAAAAAAAAAAUUACACAAACUUUAAUUGCUACACUAAAGCUACACAGGUGCAUUCACAAGUGCUAUACACAUGCAUUAUAUCCAAUUACAUUGUGCCUAUUUAUAAGCCUUUACAACCAUAUCUAACAUCUCACAAACAACUACCUGACCCAAAUUCUCUAAACAAUUGCCCACAAUUUUGCAUCACAUUUUCUAACAUAGCCCAAUUAAAAAAAAAUGAAUAAAUAAUAAAAGAAAAAAGUGGGCUGGGCCGAACCAAGUUGGCACUAGCCCUUGCCCAGCCUCGGGCCCUACUCUUUAGGGGCUGGGCAGAACUGCUUGGCCCAGUGCCAGCCCUACCUCAAGCCAAGUGGUCCAUUCUAAGAAUAUCAUUUCGGACGAAAUUUUCCUUUUGAUGUUAAACAGAAGUUUUUAUUUGGCUGUGCCCUUGUGGCCCCGACUCAAAUAGGGGAACAAUGAUAACGUAAAUGGUUCAGUUUGAACGUCGAAACUUAGUUGCUGUGAGUUCUUCAAUAUCCUUAUUUCGUUUAAAAUAUUUUUUUUUCACUUUUAUAGGUUUGUGAUGGUAAUUGCUGUGAGUUCUUCAAUAUCUUUAUUUCGUUUAAAAUAUUUUUUUUGCACUUUUAUAGGUUUGUGAUGGUAAUUGCUGUGAGUUCUUGAAUAUCUUUAUUUCGUUUAAAAUAUUUUUUUGCCACUUUUAUAGGUUUGUGAUGGUAAGAAAUAUAGACAUAUCAAAUUUGAGAUUGAUAUGAUAUAUUAAAAAAUAAUAAAAAUAAAAUACACUAUACACUGGCAAAAAGUUGGACUUAAGUUUAAAAUAUGAAAUAUAAAAAGCUAUUUUUCAAUUAUAUAAAUCUAAAAUCAAUUUUUUUAUUUAUUUCCCUUAAAAAAAAAGAAAAAAAACCCUUCCUUUUCAACAUCGUCCAUGCAGGAAAUUUACUAGGCUUUUGCACAAGAAACCCAACGCAAGAUAUUGUAUCCUAUAUUCAUAGGCAUACAAACAAUUUGCCAAAUGAAGCCUACAUAAUUACCUUUGCUGAUAUAGAAAUGAAAUAGAUAAUUUUUCAUUUUGUCACAAAGUUGAAAAGAUUGAGGAAGGAUUUACGUGAGUGGAAUAAAACAUCUUUUGGUUAUAUGGAUAUAUGGAGGAGUCUAUUUCAGCAGUUUGUCGACAACUUUCUAGUAUCCGUGACAGUUUCGGUUGUGAUCCCUCUAAUAAUUCUCUUAUGUUGGUGGAGAAUGAAUGUUCGAGACAAUUGUAGCAAUUAUUGAUUCCUGAAGAAAGUAUAUGGAGACAUAAAUCGAGAAGGGUGUGGUUGAGAGAUGGCGAUGCUAACACAAAAUUUUUUCACCGUUAUCAAAAGAGAAAGUGUACAAUUAUGCUUCUCAAGGAUCAAAACAAGGUAUCUCUUACUGAGUUAGAUAUUGAGAAACAUAUGUCUGGCUACUUUGAGGACCUACUUACACAGGAAAAUAAUGUUAACCUUCAUCAGGCAAAUCAAAUUUUGCCCAUGUUAUGCUAAACUCUAACCAGCAGAUGCAAUUAAUUGAGGUAGUGACUUCAGAGGAAAUAAAAGCAUGUAUUUGAGAUAUAAAGAGCGAAAGCACCCCGGGUCCGGAUGAUUUAUCUGUUGAAUUUUACAAAUUCAGUUGGAAGGUGAUAAAAAAGGAUCUCUUUGUGGCAUUGAAUGAUUUCUUCAAGAAAGAUAAAAUUCUCAAUCAAAUCAAUUCUACGUUUAUAUAUUUCAUUCUUAAGAUGAACUCCUUAAGUGUUAUGAAAGUUUUUAGAACCAUUGGAUUAUGCAAUGUCUUAUAUAAAAUCAUAAGAAAAAUCAUUUCCAAUAAUUAGAGGGGGGUUUUGGAUAGUUUUAUUGAUCCUAGACAAGCAAAAUCAUUUCCAAUCAUUAGCUACUCAGAGUCGUCUCUUAUCCAGUGUUUCGAGAGUGGCCAGUCAGGCUUUAGCAUAUCGUUUGUGAUCUGAUUCCUUGUGAGCAAGUAUCCUAAGAGAAGGUAUUUCCACCUCAAUUGGAAGUACUGCCUCCAUGCCAUAGACCAAUGAGUAGGGAGUCAUCCUUGAGGCUGUUUUCUUAGUGGUUCUAUAGGCCCAGAGUGCAGCUGAUAGAUUUUUGUGCCAAUCCUUAACACCUUCUAUAGUUCGAUCGAUACUCUUUAGGAGAAUCUUGUUAGUUGCUUAUGCUUGACCAUUUUCUUGAUGAUAAUAUGGUGAAGAGAAUUUCUGCUCUAUUCCGAAUUUUUUGCACAUCCUUGUUACUUUCUCAUUUUUUAAAUUGGUCCCAUUAUCGGUAGUGAUUAUUUCAAGGACUUCGAAUCUAUAGACUAUGUUGUUGGUAAUGAACCGGGCUUGUCCUUCUAUUUUUGUGAAUGAGGCGGCCUCCUUACCAUUACAUUUGGCCAUGCAAAUUCUUUACCAGGCAUCAAUUUAUCCGUCCUAAAAAGCUCGCUAAUCUACUCCAUGCAUAUUAGAAUCAACAUCCUUCUCAAAGUUACUCAUUUGCUCAUAUGCUCCUCCAUGCAUUUCAAAAUUAGUAUCCUUCUCAGGUUACUCAUUUGCUCAUCUGCACCUCCAUAAGUUGACAUAAAUAAACAUUGUUACCAAUUGUAAAUUUGUAAUGCCCAAAUGUAUCAGCUAUUUCUAAUUCACACUAUAAUUUACAUUAUAGAGACCAAUAAAUUGUGAAAUAUGGCAACUCUCUUUUGUACUGAAGUUCCUUGGAAAGUAGGACUACUAGCAGGCAGCCUUAAGCCCAAAGCGACUCUGUUAUGACUGAAACUUUGAUUUUCCGAUAGAUGCCAUACUGCAGAAAGCGACUCUGUUAUGACUGAAACUUUGAUUUUCCGAUAGAUGCCAUACUGCAGAAUUCAUAUGCUCGUGCACUCAUCGCCAACUAAGAGUGGCCCUUUACACUCAUGAAAAUGAUUCCAAUAGAUACAUAAACAGAUUGACCUGGCAAACAAUAGAUACAUACUCAAAUGAGAGAAAGUUUUAAUUAAUAGCACAAAAGAACGACAGUCCCACAAACAUGAAUGCAAUUCUAUUGUGAUCUAUAUCCUGCCAAAAAACAUCCGCGCCACAAACAUGUAAAAUCUUGGACUGUUGUUGCUCCUUGGUGGAUUUUGGUUACAGAUUUUGACUAAGUUAUGCUCUUGUCAAUGACUCUUGUUGUUCCUUGGUGCGUGCACACAUCUUUAUCCCACAAUCCGGGCAGGUGCAACUAAACUAUCUCUUUUAAGAAAAACAACUAACCUUAAUUUUAGUUGAGAGAUAUGUUACAAACUUACAAUGAUCUAACUUGAGACCAGAAAAUGUAACUGGCUGAUAUAACCGAAAAUGCAUAGAAAUAUGUAAAUAUGUAGUACGCAUUAGGGUACAGAGUACAACAAAUGGAGACAUUCAUUAAUUUUAAACAGAUUUAACAAAUUGAGAUUUAGAACCAUGCAUAGAUAAUUACUCCCACUUCUUGUGGAAUUUAAGCUAUCCAUAUUCCAAUAACAACUACAAGGUCAUCACCAAGAGCAACUAUAUAUACUGUGACUAAAAGAAAGACUAAUGUGAUCUUGCUUGGGAAUAAUCUUUUUUUAUUUUUCUUCUUUUCACUCAUUUUAUUUUCUUUUUCUUUUCUUUCGGCAAAUAUCACUUACAAGUAGUCUUUUUACAAUAAUUCUUGCUUCAAAGAAAAUAAAACUAACAAAUCCAAGAUCUUAAAAACCUUGAUGCCAUUAAACUAAUUUUCUUUAAACAAAGAAAAUAUCCACAAUUCUUAUGCUUGGGAAUAUAAAACCAAUAUAAUUAAAUAGAGCAAGAAAUAAAAAAAUAGAGUGCCGAAGAUUACCUCAACAGGACUUAUUAAACCCCACACCGAGUCACCAACAUCCGAUGACGCGGGAUCAACGGUGUAGCUUCAAUCUCGAAACGGGAAAGCAAAUUUUGAUCAAACUGAGUAUUCACCAUUAAAUCUCUAUAAACUUUAAGCCCCAAAAUUUUCUUGGCUUACCCCUAAUUUCCCAACCCUUAGUAUUUUUAAAGCAUGAGAGAGAAAGUGGGAGAACUAGGGAUGGGGCGUGUCCCUCUAGAGGAGAGAGAGGGUUAAAGUGAAAGUUGGAGAGAGAGACCCAGAGGAGAGAGAGAGUAGGGUGUGCCCCUAUAGGAGAGAGAGGAGAGAGAGAGUUGUAGGAGAGAGAAAAGUGUAGAGAAUAGGGAGAGGGUGCACCUCUAUUUAUAGAGAAAAAUUAGGUUUAGGGUUUCUCAUAAUUUCUCUCUUUUUUGAGAUUGAAUAUGGACCGUUGAUCAAAGUGACAUAUGGGAUGAGAGAUCCAAGCCAUCAAUUCUAUAGAUGGGUCAUCAACAUUAUGGAAGGUGCUUGGAUUAUUAUCCUCUUUUACUUAAACCAUUUUCCCAUCAAUAUACUUAAAUAAAUUGAAUCUUAUUUAAAUAUUAUUCAUUCCAUAAAAUAACAUAUUCUUUCCCAUACUAUUCAAAGAUAUGUCAAGUCAAUAUAUGCUUUCCAUAUUUAGGAUAAGAUGUUAUCAACCUUUUCCAUAUCUAAUGUUAGAUCACAUGCCACACGAUACCUUUCCUAAAUUCGAAUAACUUGACAACAAAGCAAACAACCAAGAGCUGGGGCGUGCCACCCAUGUGUGGUACAUGUGGGCCCCACCAACAUGGUACAUGGUGGCCCAUGUGCACUAUGGGCCCCCGUGAUAUUCUAAAAUAUUAUUUGAAUUUUAUACUUUUGUAAAAUCAAUAACUUUAUUUUUAUAAGUAUAAAAUUUAUAAAUAAAAUGUCAAAAGACUCAUAAAAAUUCAAAUAAUAAUUCUAAAAUAAUUUCUAUCAUAAAACAAACAUAAUUAAAUUAAUAUGAUGGGAAAUGGAUCCAUAUGGUUUAGGAAUUGAAUUAACAAUCGUGGGGCACUCUACCUUCAACUGUGGACUACGGACCACACUUGCUUUAUGAGACCGACCUAGGGUUUUCCACGACCCACAGUCCAAGCUGAGGCUCAUUAGUGGGUUACCAAAAUCUGGCUGAUGAGCCAAGGGGUCGCAAUCCCAGUCUGUGGAUUUCAAGUCCUCCCCUAGAGACAAGUCAAGGUCACCAAGACUUAUGCGACCAUAGCUCUAUGGCGCAUACGGGUAUCUCUCGUACAUGCAUACGCUUCAUUCUAAAAGGUAGAUAUCUGGCUUUCCCAAAUGAUCUAUCGAUAUGCAGGCCGUGUGAUGGAUCAUGGAUGAGGUUUUGAUCCCUGUCUCUGUAGGCCCACCGUCACACACAAGGGUCACAUAGUCCUUGGGCUCAUUCACUCAGACAUAAGCUCUGACCUCAUCAAGGGAUAACCCAAAACCCUUCUUGGUUUGUUCUCUAUUCUCAGAUACCUUGGGUUUUCCAGCCGACUGGCCUAGAUCGUCAAGCAUAGUCUGGUAUCAGCAAACUUUGUUUGCUUAGUAUGGUUCACGAGGGACUAUACUGCCAUUGAGUUCAUGUUCCACUAUAUUAUUUCAUUUUAGAAGCACUUAUAAGGCCUUUAAAGGCCACAUAAACCCAAUACCUCACACUUGACCUUUGAAGGUUUUACAUUCUAUCUUUUUCACUUUCUCUCAUUCUCAUCUCUCUCUCUCCCAAUUACAAUCUCUCUCAAGCAUUUUUACUUAUUCUCUCAAUAUAUUAAUCAUGGCUUACGCCAUCAAUCCUUUCACAAAAGGAUUUAUAGAGGCAACACAUUUUUCUCUUUGCUGCUCGGAUCUCAUCCCGAAAGUGGUCGUAGCUCAUCUUUCACAUCGCAUCGCGAAUCAUGGACAUGUUGUCGCAGAAGACCAUCACGUAUCCUCAUCGCAUGUGCUCGUAUAUUCAUGGGCUCAAAAGAGUUCUUCAAAUAAGCUACUCCCUUUUGUAACCAUCCAACCAGCACUACAUAAAUAGGUUCCAUGGGUGAACAACAUUAUAGUUUGUUAUUCCAUCUUGCAUGUCAAAUACUAGUAGGUGCCCCAAUUGGAAUAUUUAGUUUAUCUGGAUCUCAAUCUUUCUCAAUCUCAUCUCAUUCCUCAAGUGAUAAAAACAUGGUUUUAUAUGCUUGGAGUUCUUAUGAAAUCGUGGCUCCUUUGAUAUGCAUAUCGCCACCGUGCUGUCGCAGAAAAUUCUUACUACCUCACAAUGCAUGAGGUAAAAGUCAAGUCGAUUAAGAAAUUUCUUAAUCUAUACGACCUCCUCGAUCACCAAAUAGCACACCACGUACUCUGCCUCCAUGGUAGACAAUUUCAUCACAUUCUGUUUCUUUGAUUUCUAAUAAAUUGCACCCCUUCCAAGCAUGAACACAUAUCCAGAUGUGGACUUCGCAUCAUCUGGAUCCGUAAGAUAACUUGCACCUGAUAUCUAAAUAUCCAAGCAGCUAAAAAAAUGUGGGACUGUAGCUGCUCCCACUCAAUUAUUGCAUAAACAAUAUAUACAUUCUCAACAUUCUUAUACAUAUAUCAUGACGUAGUAUAUCAAGUCUCAUGCAAUAUGUAAUUCAAUACCCAUUGGUUUUACAAUAUGCAAAAACCUUCAUGAACCACAAAGGUUCAAUCACACUAGACAUCUUGGUUGUAAAUUCCUACAAACCAAGUUAUCUAAUUAACACAACAUGUGUCAAAGAAGCCUAGCAUGAUGACAUUCCCUAUGGUUCAAAGUCUUAAGUAAUCAAGGACUAUAAAUAACAAGAAACAUGGGUCAAGGUAUAUAGGAAUUUUAAAAAAACAGUGCAUGAUAGUUUUNNNNNNNNNNNNNNNNNNNNNNNNNNNNNNNNNNNNNNNNNNNNNNNNNNNNNNNNNNNNNNNNNNNNNNNNNNNNNNNNNNNNNNNNNNNNNNNNNNNNNNNNNNNNNNNNNNNNNNNNNNNNNNNNNNNNNNNNNNNNNNNNNNNNNNNNNNNNNNNNNNNNNNNNNNNNNNNNNNNNNNNNNNNNNNNNNNNNNNNNNNNNNNNNNNNNNNNNNNNNNNNNNNNNNNNNNNNNNNNNNNNNNNNNNNNNNNNNNNNNNNNNNNNNNNNNNNNNNNNNNNNNNNNNNNNNNNNNNNNNNNNNNNNNNNNNNNNNNNNNNNNNNNAAACCGGCUCUUUCAAAUUUGUUAACACUUAUCACUUAAUGUCUAUGCACUCCAUACAUAUUCAUAAAUAAUUCGCUAAAAUAUAACCAAAGCAUAUUAAACAAAGUUAUUGAAUCUUCUUUUUCUAUAUGACCUUACCAUGUAAUGUGGGAUAGAUUUCAUACCUCAAAACCAUGUAGUGUGGUACCUGGGUUUUCUUGAUUCAUCGUUUUUAUUUGUUUGACAAACUUUUAUGAUCUUGGAAGUGCACGCAACUGAUGGAGAAUAUAAUACUAUAGUGUGAAUCCCAAAUAAUAUUUUUUUUCAGAGAAAUAAAAAAGUGACAUUCACGUCACAAAAUAAAUCAUACUACAUUAUUCCAGGAUAAAUAUUAUCUAGUAAAAUUGUCUUUUCUCUCUACCAUAAUGGAGUUUCACUUUCAAACUUAUAUUUUCACAAGCCUUAUAUCACUCUGUUAAAUAGGCUUGAUAAAUACAGAUAUUCAUGUCUUCAAUGAAGGACAUACCAAAUUGCAGAAAAAUUCAGGAUAACCUUUCUUCAAUCCAAAAUUUCCAUUCCUCUCUUCCAAUAGAUAUUUCUCUCUCAAAUAAAUUUUAUUAGAAACUAGACUUAGAAUGGAAGUCUAAAAACUUAGUGUGAGCCAGAAAACAUUCACUUAGGACUUCCAAGUCAUGGAAAUAAUUUUCGUUGUAGAAAACAACCCUUACGCACCCAUCAAUAAAUCGAUUAUAUCUUUCAAACUACAAGAAAUUUCUAGAUGAAACCUUUUUCGUUUGAAAGUAGACUCAAUUUUAUGAGUCACAACAAAAUUUUAGCAAGAAAUAAAUAAUAUCAUUGGUGGGAAAAAUCACGGAACUCAAUCGACAACUCUUGGAUUUUGUAGGGUCAAAACUGACACCCUUCAUUGAUGAGUCCAUAACUUUUAAUUCCCUUAGGAUCUCUUACUAAAAUUUUGUAGGUAGAUCCUACUCUCAAAGACACACAAUAUUACUGAAGUAUGCAAUAGAAAAAUACAUCAUUAUCUUCUUCAUAUCACUGCUCCAAAAUAGCCCAGAAUUUUCAUUAUGUAGAGUACCUUUUCGGUGUUUGAAUAUUCCAAUAAUUCUUAACUGUGGGUGUUUUAUUUGACCACAAAUGACAUUAGCUUUCAUAUAUAUCAUUCCCAAGCUUGAUCUAGACUCAGUAAAAACAAAAAGAUAACUAAUGACAUCAAAUAUCAAUAGCUCUGAUACCAAUGAAAGAAAGACUAAUACGAUCUUGUAGGGGAAAUUUUUUUUUUUUUCUUCUUUUCAACCCUUUUCUUUUCUUUUACUUUUCUUUUGAAAAAAAUCACUUACAAGUAGUCUUAUUAUAAUAAUUCUUGCUUCAAAGAAAAUAAAACUAACAAAUCCAAGAUCUUAAAAACCUUGAUGUCAUUAAACCAAUUUUCUUUAAAAAAAGAAAAUAUCCAGAAUUCUUAUGCUUGAGAAUAUAAAACUAAUAUAAUUAAAUAUAGUAAGAAACCACAAAAAAAAAAGUGCCGAAGAUUACCUCAACCGGGUUUAUUAUACCCUACAUCGAGUUACCAACAUCUGGUGGUGCGGGAUCAACGAUUUAGCUUCAAUCUCGAACCAGGAAAACAAAUUACAGCUAAACUGAGUAUUCACCCUUAAAUCUCUACAUACUCUAACCUCUAAAAUUUUCGUAGCUUACCCUUAAUUUCCCAACCCUUAAUAUUUUUAAAGCAUGAGAGAGAAAGUGGGACACCUAUGGUUGGGGUGUGCCCCUCUAGAGGCUUAAGAGAGAGAGAGGGAUAAAGAGAGAAAGUUGGAGAGAGAGAUAUCCAGAGGAGAGAGAGAGUGGGGCGUGCCCCUAUGGGAGAGAGAGUUGUGGGAGAGAAAAGUGCAUAGAAUAAGGAGAGGGUGCACCCCUAUUUAUAGAGAAAAAUUAGGUUUAGGGUUUCUCAUAAUUUCCUUAUUUCUUGAGAUUGAAUAUGGACCAUUGAUCAAGGUGACUUGUGGGGUGAGGGAUCUGAGCCAUCUAUUCCAUGGAUGGGUCAUCAACAUUAUAAAAGGUGCUUGAACCAUUAUUCCCAUUUCCUUAAACUAUUUUCCCAUCAAUAUAUUUAAAUAAAUUGAAUCAUAUUUAAAUAUUAUGCAUUUCAUAAAAUAGCAUAUUCUUCCCAUACUAUUCAAAGAUAUGUCAAGUCAAUAUAUGCUUUCAAUAUUUAGGAUAAGAUGUGAUCGACCUUUUACAUAUCUAAUAUUAGAUCACAUGCCACAAGAUACGUGUCCUAAAUUUGAAUAACUUGAUAACAAAGCAAACAACCAAGAGGUGGGGCAUGCCACCCAUGUGUAGUACAUAUGGGCCCCACCCACAUGGUACAUGGUGCGCCCAUGUGCAUUAUAGGCCCUCGUGAUAUUUAAAAAAUUAAUUUCUAAAAUAUUAUUUGAAGUAAAAUAUUAUUUGAAUUUUAUACUUUUGUAAAAUCAAUAACUUUAUUUUUAUAAGCUUAAAAAUUAUAAAUAAAAUAUCAAGAGACUCACAAAAAUUCAAAUAAUAAUUCUAAAACAAUUUCUAUCAUAAAACAAACAUAAUUAAAUUAAUAUUAUGGGAAAUAGAUCCAUAUGGUUUAGGAAUUGAAUUAACUAUCAUGGGGCCAUCCACUUUCAACUGUGGACUACGGACCACACUUGCUUUAUCACACCGUUCCAGUGUUUUCCAUGACCCACAGUCCAAGCUGGGGCUCAUUAGCGGGUUACCAAAAUCUGACCGAUGAGCCAAGGUUUCGCAAUCCCAGUCUGUAGAUUUUAGGUCCUCCCCUAGAGAUAAGUCAAGGUCACCAAGAGCUUAUGCGACCACAGCUCUAUGAUGCAUAUGGGUGUCUCUCGUACAUGCAUACGCGUCACCCUAAAAGGUAGAUAUCUGGAUUUUCUGAACGAUCUAUUGAUAAGCAUACCGUGUGACGGAUCAUAGAUGAGGUUUUGGCCCUUGUCUCUAUAGGCCCACCAUCACGCAUAAGGAUCACACAGUUCCUCGGCUCAUUCAUCAAGGCAUAAGCUCUGAUCUCAUCAAGGGAUAACCCAGAACCCUUUUCGGUUUGUUCUUUAUGCCCAGAUACCUUGGGUUUUUCAACAAACUGGCCUAGAUCGUCAAACACUGUCCGGUAUCAGCAAACAUCGUUUGCUUAGUAUGGUCCACGAGGGACCAGACUCCCACUGAGUUCAUAUUCCAUUAUAUUAUUCAUUUUACAAGCACUCAUAAGGUAUUUAAAGCCCACAUAAACUCAAUAGUGACAACACAACAAAUGCAAUUUUAUAUAAAUUAGUAUAUCACAAUAUAUACAUUGUUAAUUAGUGUAUAUACGGUGGUAUACAGUUACAUAUAUGCACUGGUAUUGAAGCUGUAAGAAGGAAAAGCACUGUAUGUAAACUAUUAAUACCGUUAUACACCAAUAUAUAUACAUUGUUAACAAUAUAUAUACACUAGCAUAUAAUAGUAUAGACACUGUUAGCGGUGUGGCUAUUUGAGGUAUGCAUAGUCAAGCGAACAAUGAGCAAAGAUUUGCUAUGAGUAAAACACUUUACAAGCAUAUAAUAGUAUAUGCACUGUUAACGGUGUGGUUAUUUGAGGUAUGCACAGGCAAGCCAACAAUGAGCAAAGAUUUGCUAUGAGUAAAACACUUUACAAGGUUCACCGUACAUUGUCGAGCACAACCAUCGCAGAACUUGAAUGGAAUGGUAAUGGCGUUGCUAGAUGAUGAACUAGUCAUCAUUUCACCUACGAGAGCAUUGGGAAGUCAUGCUUAAGAAGCAGAAAAUAACAACGGAAACAUUAAUUUAAGAAAAACAGCAUUGAUAUUUAUGCUACGAAUUUAGAACCAAAUUACCAAUAUUGGAAUGAAGAGAAAACAUGAAGGUCUUUUCGACAGGUAUUACAUUAGAUAUCAUUUUCAGGGUCAUCAUCAAAAUAACAUUCUUUCAAGAAACAAAUUACUAACAUUGAGCCUUAAAUAAAAAAAAUUGGAAUAUAGGCUCUUGUUUUUCAACCUAGCAACACAUUUCUUUCCUAAGAAGUUAUCCUUUUACCUGAUCGGCUAAUUUGCCACAAAAAAACCUAAUUCAACACAAAGUACCCACUUGUCGACACAAUUCCAUGUUACUCUAACUAAAUUAUCCAAUAAUAACCAAAUUUUCAUAUAUAUCAACUAAGAACAAAGUAAGCAUACUUCAAAAAUAAAAAAAAAUGGAAUGAUAAAUAAAACCCUUAAGUAAUCCAUGAAUCAGGCCAUUUGUUUAGCACCACCUCGAACAUAGGUGAGUUGCAAAACACAUGACUUGACUUCAAGAAAACAAAAUUGCAUUUCUUUCCCCAGUAAUAAUCAACAAAAACCAAAUUACUAAUAAGAAAUUAGCUAAAAUAAAAUUUGUAGAGCAUGUGGACUUUUUGAGACAGAGAGUGAGUGAGAGAGAGUGCGUGCAUUAUUUUUUAGAGGAAGAAAGGGUUUUUUUGCUGGUUCAGCAGCCACGCACUCGAGAGAGAGAGGGGGCGGGGGGAUAUUUUUGUUGUUGGUUCAAAAGCCAGUGGGAGAGUGAAAGUUGGACUAUGUGAUCAAAUACGGUACAUAUAAAUUAAAACAAUUUCUUAUAGUUAUUGUUCUUACACCAAUAAGACCAAUCACAAUGUUCAAUUACAAAUAAACAACUCUUGAAACAAAUAAACACGGUUCUUCACUUGUUACUGCUAUUGAAUAUAACUCCUUAAAUCAAAAUCUUAACUCAUUGCUUUAUGGAAAUAGAAGAGCUCAACACAAAAUAAAAUUUAAAGAAGUAAAAUUGCCGGAGAUUACCUCAACCGGGCUUAGUACACCCCAUACCGAGUCUCCUCUUUCCUAUGGUACUCGAGAUCUAUGAUCAGUCUUUUGAUUAUUCUACUUAUAGAAAAACCCUAUCAAAGGCAUAUGGAUCUCGAUCUAGGAUCAAUUACCUAAGGCUUCAAUACUUUAGUUUUGCUCAAACCCCUUGGCUUAAUCUUUAUAUAGAUGAGAGAUAGAAAUCAAAGAAAGAGGAAGAUAUCUACUAGCUAGAGGAUGCUCCCAUUUGAUGCCUACUAUCAAAAUCAAACAACUACAAGCCUAGCCUAGCUUGGUGUGCCACCUAGAACUUGCAACAGAGAGAGAUGACUUGGACUUACCCCUAUGGAAACUUGAAGAGGGAGCUCUAGGUUGGGGUGUGCCCCCCUUCUCUGUAACUAGGUUGGGGCGUGCCUGUUAGAGAGAUAUUGGAGAGAGAUAGAAAACCCUUAGAGAGAGAAGAGAUAAUAGUUGUGUAGAAAUUUAUGAGGUAGGAGAGCCUCCUUUUAUAGAUGUUUUAUGCUUUAGGGUUUGCCAUAAUUCAUAAGAUCAAAUCCUGAUUGUCGAUCUUGGAGACUUGUGGGGUGAGAGAUGUGAGUCAUCAAUUUCUUAGAUCCACCAUCAUGAUUCUAAAAAAAGUACAAGAACUUUAUCCUCUAUUUCCUAAACAUAUUCCCAUCAUAAUAAUUAAAUACAAAAAAUAUCACUUUACUUUCUCUUAUAAUAAAUAUUCAUUACUUAUUCUUUAAUCAAGCCUUCUUGAUUCACAAGACAUUCUAAAACUAUUUAUUUCAUUCCAUAUGCAAGAGGCUUCGCACCUAAUUUAGGAAAGCCAACGAAUAUGGAGAUCCCCUUACAAUAUUUAGUAACAGGUCACCUCCUCAUGGACGGGGUGUGCCACCCAUUGUAGCCGCUCAUGGUCCCCACCCAGUCCCACAAAAAUAUUCAAUGCGCCCCAUGUGUAAUGGUAGAUCCCACAUAUUUUUAGAAAUAAUAAAUUUUGAUUUUUAGAUUUGCCAAAUUUUUUAAUUUAUUUAAAACUUUAGAAAAUGAAUUUCUCUCUAUUUAUAAAUCCAAAUGAUAAAAUUAAAAUAUUAGAAGAUUCACAAAAAUUAAAAUAAAUAUUCUAAAAAUUAAAUAACAUAAAAUAAAUUAAAUUAAAUUAAUUUUGAUGGGAAUCGGAUCCUUAUAGAUUUAAAAUUUUAUUAAUACACAAGAGCAUUCCACCUUCAAUCGUGGACCACGAUCCACACUAGCUUUUCUAAACUGACUCAGCGAUUUCCAUGACCCAAAGUACACCACGGAGGCUCAUGAUUGGACCACCAAAGUCAAUCAAUGGGCUAUGGAACGUAAUUCCAAUAUGUGGAUUUUAGGUACUCCCCCAAAGACAAAAUCAUGAUCCGCUACACCAUGUUGCAACCACGACACUGUGACAAAUAGGGGUAAUCUCUCACACAUGUACACGCUCCACCCUCAAUGGUGGAAUUUUAUCUCAAUACAGCUAUCUAUGUACAUGUCGUGUAAUGAUACAACGAUGAGAUUUAACCCUUGUCUCUAUAGGCAAUCCAUCACUCACAAGGGUGACACAAUCCCUCGGCUCUCAUUCGGGCAUACUUUAACCUCAUUAAGGGCAACCCACUAAAUCAAUCUCGAUUGUAACUUUAUGCCUAGUUACCUUGGGUUUUUCAUAACUCGGUUGGCCUAGCACGUUGAGCCGUAUUCGAGUCUCGACAAAUAACAUUUACUUGGUAUGGUUCACACAAGGACCACACUCCCACUGAGUUUAUGUUUCACUAUAUAAAAUGCUUAUACAAACUCUCAUAAAUCUUUUAAUGAUCACAUAAAAGUGGCAAUAAUAAAAAUAUAUAUAUAUAUAUAUAAAAGUCUUUCGAAUGAACAGUAUUUUCACCUCCUUAUAUCCACUGUCCUUUCAAAUUAAAUGAAAUCCUACGGCUUUGAUUCGCUUUAAAAAUCCCUCGCGUCAUUGCCUGAAAAGCUUCAAACCCCAAUAAAUUUCAACCAUACCCCUUCCUCCUGCGUGCUCUGUGAACUAGAGAGCUUCACUGAGAAGCUCCCUCUCUCUCGCUCGCUAUCAUCUCUCCUAGCAGCUACAACUUCUCUGCGUCCUCUCUCUCGAAAUUUCACCAGCUCUCCCUCCUCAUUUGCUCUAAGAAUUUCAACCAUACCCCCUCCUCCUGCGUGCUCUGCAAACCAGAGAACUUCAUUGAGAAGCUCCCUCUCUCUUGCUCACCAUCGUUUCUCCGAGCGGUUACAAAUGCUCUGCAUCAUCUCUCUCUAAAUUUCUGCUGCUUUACCUCCUCAUUCACUCUAGUAAGCUUGUCGUGGUUGUUGGCAUCUCAAGGAAGCAGUACGCUGAGAAAAACCCAACCCAAUACGACUCAUGAUUAGGGCAUUGAAAUCGGUGAGUAACAAACAAUUUUUUCUAUUUAUAGUUUGUAAAUCACUAGAAAAAUCCUAACUUUGAUUUAGAAAUUUAGUUCUCUAAGUAAAACCAUAAAAAUUCAUGCUAAAAUUUCAGUUCAUUUUUCCCUCUUGCUGAAAUUUGAGUUCAUAUAUGGUUUUUUUUUUUUGGAUUUAGCACAGGAAAGCAUGACAAUUGUUUGAUUGCACUACAGGCCCCAAAAGGAUGGGGUACUUCAUCUAAGGACACUAAUAUUGGCACUGAUUCGGUAGUUGGGCCUCGAGUAAUCUGCAUUUUAAAAAACAUUUAUCAGGCAGAAUUGGGGAUUACAUGUGUGUAUUGUGUGCAAGCAUUUUAUGUAAACAAUAGAGUUAAUGACCAUAGAAAAAUGGUUUAAAAUCCCUCACGCACGAACAAUUUCUUCAAUUUAUAGUAUGUAAAUCACCAGAAAAAUGCUAACUUUGAUUUGGAAAGUUAGUUUUCUGAGUAAAGCCUUAAAGUUUCCUGCUGAAAUUUUAGUUCAUUUUUUCCUCAGCAUAUAUGGUUUUUUAUUUUUUAUUUUUAAUCAAUAAAUAAAUUUGUAAAUAAAAAACUAUGACAAAAUCACAUACCAAAAUAGACAAAGAUUAUAAUAACCAAAAAAAGGAUUCCCAUAUCACUUAUUUUCUAUUACCUAUUUUCCCCCGAAUAUUUGAAUUUCUAUGUUGUUAAUGCUUGAUUUAUAGUCUAUAAUUCACCAUAAAAAUCAUAGCUUUGAGUUCGAAAUUUUAUUUUAUGAGUAAAACAAAAGAAAUCCCUGCUAAAAUUUGAGUUCAUAUAUGGUUUUUUGUAAAUCAAUGAAUAAAUAUGUAAAUAAAAAAUUAUGACAAAAUCACAUAACAAAAUGGACAACUAUGGUUUUGAGAAUGAACAAUGGUUCUUGUUUAUGCUUUUUAUUUUUUGGAGUAUUUGUAUUUGACAUUUUUUAUUUAUAGAAUCCAUGAAGGAUUUUUUUUUUUUGAAGUAUGAUUCUUCUGUCAUAGUUAUAUGUUCUCCUACUUGCUUCUUAUUGUUGACCAUAUAAACGAAACAAAUAUAUUAUACAUGUGUCAUGGACGCCUCAACAUCAGCAUCUCCUUCCUCUCCUGUUGACAUUACUAGUUUAGAAAAUGGGCACAAGUGUGGUGCUCAAGCUUUUUAUGAUUUUCCAUAUGAUAAUGAUAUAGUUGCAAUAGAUGGAGAAGGAGAUCCUAUACUUAUAGAUGCAGAGGCAGCCCUAGCAAGAGGUGCACGUAUCGAACUGGCAAUGGGGAUGGCAUUUACUGACGAAGAUGAAGCUUAUGAUUAUUAUAAUAAGUACGUAAAAUUUGUACGGUUUGUUAUAAGAAAGGGAACGACCAUACGGAAACAUGGUGAAAAAAUUGGUCAGAUUAUAGAAUGUUGUAGGCAAGGUUUUCAUAGUGAGAUGUAUGGUGGGAGUGAAAGUGCUAAGCCCCACACAAAAUGUGGAUGUUAGGCAAAGAUCCGCAUUGAUCCGCAUUAAGAUGAAUGAGAAGUAGAGAUGUGUUAUUGCGAAGUUUAUAAAAGAACAUAAUCAUAUUCUCACAACGCCCAACAAGACUUGAUUCAUUCGCUCUCAUUGAAAGAUACCAAACACAUUGAAAAAGGUGAUUGACACAUUGGAGUCGUCUAUGGCUAAGUCUAGGUUACAAUGGAUUACCUUAUUGAAGAGGCUGGUGGGGCAGAAAAUGUCCCUUUCAUUGAGAAAGACAUUGAGAAUCACCUAACUAAAAAGAGAAAACCACUGAAGGAAUAGAGGGUAAUGUUGUAAUGAACUAGUUGCAUACGAAGAAAGAAUUGGACCCUAACUUCUUUUAUAGAGUUCAACUUGAUGAGAUGGGGAGGUUAUUUGGUGUUUUAUAGGUUGUUUCAAAGUGUAUAUUGUUAUACCAAUUUUUUAAUGACGAGGUAACCUUUAACACCACAUACUAAACAAAUGAAUACAGUGUGCCCUUUGGCCCAAUCCUUGGAGUUAAUCAUCACGCUAACACAAUUUUCCUCGUAUGUGCUCUCAUCUUCAAUAAGACUAUAGAAACCUUCAUUUGGUUAUUUGAGAAUUGGCUAGACGCAAUGGGAGGCCGUCAACCAGAUACAAUUAUCACUGAUCAGGCUUUAGCUAUAACAGCUGCAGUUAAGAUAGUUUUCCCAAAUACUAAUCAUCACUAUUGCAAGUGGCACAUCAUAGGAAAGUUUAAAACACAUCUUAGCCAUGUUAAGCGUACGCACCUAUUAUUCUUAGAGGUAUUAAAAAAGUGUAUUGCAGCUUACACAGUUGAGCAGUUUGAGGCUGAUUGGUUGGCUAUGAUUCAAAAAUAUGAUCUUCAAGAGGAAAGCUGGCUCAAGUGGUUUUAUGGUUGUCGCACUCAAUGGGUUGAUGGAUACAUAGCUGAUAGGUUCACAACUGGCAUGAAAACCACACAACAAAGUGAAGGGUUCAAUUGUCAUUUAAAGAUGUAUUUAACUUUUGGUACAAGUUUGCAAAAAUUCAUGAAUGCUAUUGAAAAGUUGCAAAAUAAGAACUUCAUCAAAGAACAAGAGAAAGACAAUAAAGAUCUUACAUUCACACCUGUUCUAAAGACAACCUUCCUUAUCGAGGAACAUGCAGCAAAAAUAUACACUCAGAAAGUAUUUAGAAAAUUCUAAAAAGAGGUGGUAAGGUCCUCAAAUUGCCUUAGCAAAUUAAUAGAAGGCAAUGAUGAAUUUGCCAAACAUAAGGUGAAAGACAUUUGCGGUGUGCCAAUCCCUAGGAUGGUUACAUUCAUUGAAUCAGGGAAGAAGUGUAUAUGCACAUGUCAAUUUUCUGAGCGUGUUGAAAUCCCUUGUUCACAUAUGCCCAAAGUGUUCAACAUGAGGAAUGUAUUGAAGAUCCCAUCUAAUUACAUUUUGAGCCGGUGGACAAUGGAUGCAAAGAAGGGUAUCAAAGACAAAUGUGGUGCUAGUAGUUUGACUAUAUCUAAAUUUUCGAGUUUCAUUCGACAUCAUGAGCUUUAUGACCUUGUGAGAACAAUUGUAGAGCUAGUAUUAAAAAAUGAUGAUCUAUUUGAAAAAGUGAAGUUGGGUUUCUCCAAGUUAGUUAAGGAGGUCAAUACAACAAGAGAGUCUUUGUCAAAUACUCAUGUACCAUUAGCCUCCACUCAUUGCAGUGCCGCAGAAGAUGAAGUAUGUGGCAGUAUUAGAUCAAUUGAUGCCUCCCCCUUUCUACUUGAUCCACCAUGUGCACGAGCAGUUGGACAACCAAGGACUAAAAGGAUUAAACCUUCAUGGAAGGAAGGGCCAAAAGCUUCUACACAAAAAAACAGUCAGAGGAAACGCCACCCGUUGGAAGGAAUUGUAAAGUUUACAGUAAGAGUGGACAUGACAGACGUAACUGUCAGGUGAGGGCCUGUGGGAUGUAAGUGCUUCUUUGCUUUAUGUAUUACACAUAAUAAGCAUAAUUGUUUCUACUUAACUUUAGUUUUCAUUUAUCUUCUGUUUUACAUAUUAGACUUACAAUACAUCUUUCUCUUAUAGAGCUACUAAGGACCUCAAACCGAGUUGAGGCCAUGACAAAUGAAAGGGCUGCAAUUGCACGGAGGACAUGACAAAUUGCGAGACUGCAUUCGCAUUGAGGAUAUGGCAACUUACAGGGAUUCAUUUGCAUAUUUAAAGACAUGUAAAAACCCAUUUUUGGCCGUUGACUUUGGGGGUUAUAUGAAUAUUCAAUGAAUUUUGUGGGCAUGUAAAAGACUUAUUUAUGAGGCAUGUAAAGGACUUUACUAAUUUUUUGAAUUUUGGAGACAUGUAAAUACCCCUUUUUGUAGUUGACUUUGGGGAUUAUGUGAAUAUUCAAUAUUCAUAUAAUUUUGCAGGCAUAUAAAGGACCUCUUUAUGAGCAAAUGUAAAAGUCCUCUUUAUGGGACAUAUAAAGAACCCCAUUUGAUGACUUUUUGGUAACAUAUGUGUAACAUGCCUUUCUUUUCCAUGUAUGUCAUUCACGUGUGCAAUGUGGGUUUACUUGGAUAGUGAAAUGCAUUUAUAUACCCACAGUUCUUACUUUAUUUUAUUUUUUAUGUUGAGCAUUUGAUACAUUUGCACCUUUUAUGGAUAACCUGCUCCCUCUCACAGGCCUCGGAUUUGAAUGAUCUCUCUCUCUCUCGUUGCAACUAAAUAAAUGAGCUUAUGUUGUUUCAUUGUAGCUGACAACCAGAUCUCCCUCCCUCUCUCUCUCUCUCUCUCUCUCUCUUUGUUAUUUUGUGUGUCUAAAACAAAAAAAGACAAACUAAAUAAUACUAGAAACCAAAGAAUUUGAUUCACAAAAGAUUACCAUUAAUUAAACAACGACCAAUUACAAUCAUUUACAAACCACUAGAAAGAUACAAGGAGGUUAAACACCUCAUGAAAUAGGAAACAACCAUAUACAAAUGAAGCUUACAAAAAGGUAACCCAAAUGAGCUGACUCAGUAAUUUAUUUCGUUUUGCUUUUUCAAGUUUCACCCUUCUAUUCGAAUGAUGUAGCGAAGGCCGUCCCUUUGAGCGUGUAUUCAAAAGUUGUAUUGAUCUCUGAGAAUGAGAUUGAAUGUGUGAUGAACUUCUCCAUGUGACAAAGCAUCUUCUUCAUGUAUUUGUCGACAAUAGAUGGAAGAUCAAAAUGUGGCUUAUAGUUUCCAAAUAAUAUUUUUCAUACUCUGACUACUUAAAGGCAUUAUAGUACUUUAAGGCAUCCUGCAAUACUUGCAUCCUGGGAGACACUUAUCCAACGCAAGAAAUUUUGUGAUGGGACCAUCCUCCCCAUGUUGGACAAUAGCUAGAAAUUUGCAAUGCAAAUGACCAGAGAACCAAUACGCCGAUUGCAGUUUCUUGAGCAACUCUGCUGCAGGCUUACUUCCUAGACUUUUCUCCCGAAUCUGAAAUUAUUAACUGAGAACAUGUCUAAAUCCACAAAACAAAGUAUAAGAAAUCUUGCUUCCUAAAGACUUAAUUGCAAGGGAGAUAUUGAUAUUCUUAUGUAGGGAUUCCCCAAGUUGCAAUAAUUCUCACAUUGUGUUAGCUAAGAGAAUGGAAAGUAUGAAGCGUCAGAUGGUAUUUCAUCAGAAAAUCCAUCAGCACUAGUACAGAAGGAAGAAUUCUGUCAUAUUUUGAUAAGAAAGAAAAUAAACAUUAGAUAUCCAUACCAAAAGAGUUGAAAACAGAGAAUUAUAUUGUAAAAAGAAAAAAGAUAAUAAAAUAGAUUAUGUCAAAUUCCACAUGAAGUAUUGAAAACUUUGAAUGUAAUAAUAGGUGGAAAUACUGUUGACGAGCUUUGUACUUGCUUUGAUAGUUCAUUAUCAAAAGUUCAUUGUCACAAUAAUCUACCAUACAAAUGAGUGAGCUGCAUUAGAGAAAUUUCUUUUAGAAAAUAGUUAGAACAUAAGCUAAACAUGAACAUUUUAUGCCAGCAAAUCUUCCUCAGUGGUUCAGCAUGCCUUAACCGCUAGAGGAAUGAAGGUCAAGAGUGAAAAUAAAUAAAUAAGUGAAGAAAUCAGAACAGGAAGAUGAUCCCAACAUAGAACAUAUGAUUACAUUCAGGGCAUAUACUGUUUGCCCAAAAACCCCACUGUUUGAUAUAUUUUGUAUUGAUACUGCCAAAGUCCAUUGGCAAUAAAUUUUUCAAUCUUAGUUUCAUGGCUACUAAGCAGAUUUUCAAGAAAUUAUGCCUCUUCUAGACCUAAAAAAACUGGCUUUGAGAUACUCCAAGAAUUGCUGAAUUUUAGAUGUAGAAAUCUUAUUUUUUACUAUUUUUCCAUAGAGUCAAGAAAUAAAAGCCCAUACAUCUUGAGAGAUUGGCUAUUAUCUCAAGAACAUUCCCACAAGUGUCAUUCAAGUUGGGAAAAGAUUAAUUGGACACACUUGUCAUGAAAUACAAUUGAGUUCCUUGGGUCAUAAGAUACUCAGCAGAUGAAUAGACAAGGAACCAAGAUAACCAUUGAAAAGCACAUUGCUGAUCCAGCACUUAAAUAGGAAAGCCAAGAAGCUACUCAAAGUCAUCCACAUCCAACACAGUUGAUAUAGGAAGCAAAUCUUUAAAGAUCUGCAGCAGCUGUUCACUCCAGAAUAAGGGAAAAGAGCAUCCAUAGGGACAUGUCAUUAUUCUAUAUCAUUAUUUUACGGUUGCCGUUCAAUCUAACUUUCGUAAAAAUGCUAGUCCUACAGAAGUGUAGGGAAGUCAGGCUCAACACUUCAAUUUUUCUGAGUCACAAUUAGGCUCAAGAUUCUAACACUGUUUCAUGCAGUCAUGAUUUUGUGCUUGAGAGAACAUGGCACGAAAAUAUUGGUGUAAGUUUGCACAUACUCUGGUCUAGAAUCAGAGUUUGAGGGGUACUUGACGUAUUUUUGCUUGUGCAGUGAAUUUGACUUGCAUGGUCUUCACAAUAUCUUUAAAGAUUCACAAUUUCCACUUGUUUCUAAUGGAGGAUAUAUAUAUUCAUGGUACCCUAUUUCUGCCACGUAAUGAUUGAAGAAUGCCGCUGCAGAGGAGGUCAUGCUUUCUCUUCCUUAAUUCAUAUUCUCCUUUCCAUCUUCAUCUCCACCCAUAAUUCUCCUUUCCUAAAGUUUAGCAGCUGUAUUGUGUUCUUGCUUCUCUUUCUCAUUAGUGAUGCCUAAAGCCUCGACACACACAAUCCUUUACACAAGAAAUUUCCAGGCUCUCCCAUGUAUCAAGCAAGGCAACAGAUUGUCAUUUUGCCAUUUAGUGGAAAACAGUUUUUUCAUAUUGCAAUGGAGAUGCAAUCUAAAGGCAUAAACGUAGGAAAGUAAUUUAAAAUUCCAGGUUGAAUAUUUACACCUCCACAAUCUUUUGCUUUCCUAUGUGAAAUAUGAAACGAAAGAAUAAAGCAACCUUCGUGGAACAAGUGAAUGAAUAUUAAAUAAAUCAAUACCAAAACGAAUGUGUUGAUAUUAUUAUCAACUAAUUUUGAAUAUGUAAUAUUUAAACAAUAAAUAAAUAAAACACAAUAAAAUCAAAACUUGAGAUUUAUAAUCAUGUCCAGGGCACUGAAUAUACCUCAAGUGUAAGUACAUAAUACCUCUCUCUCAAGUGUCGAAUAAGCUCCUUACAGUUCCUGUGGUCAGUGAUGCCAAGAGGCCAAUCAUGUGAAAUAAAUAUAUCAAUUUUCUCCUCAAUUUGCAUGAGCUAAUAAACAUCAUAUUGACGUACAUGAUAUAUAGACAGAAUGUCAUUGCUAUUAUAAGGAGUCCCCCCAUAAUAUUCUACUCAUUUGACAAUAUACCAGGUUACUUCAAGGGAAAUACAUGCUAAAACAACUAUACAACCCCAAUGGAUUUUUAAAGAAAUCAAAAACCAAUUAAAGCACCAUACCGCUCAUAAUCAAAACAACUCUCAGCGAACAUGAUGGAACAAAAUUGAGCAGAAGAGGAGCUAACCUUACUACUAUAAGAAAAAUAAUAGAUGGUGCAGAGUAUUACAAAAUGAUCAGUCAAGAAAGACCAAAAUAGCAAGGCAACAAUUUUACUUGCCUGAAUAGUAAUCGUAUGCCUUAUAUAUCCCAGAGAGUCCCCCAAUACGAAUGUCUCUGAAUUUGACCACUCUAGCAAAGUCCAAGAAAUAUAUGUUCGGUGCCGUCCAUCCUCCAUAAUACCUAAGAGACCAAAGUGCCCUAAUCCUGAGUCGUCUUGGGUUGGAUUUUUCUUAGGGUGCUGCUUCCUUGAGAUGUCUAAAGCCACAACGAGCUUACUAGAGAGAAUGAGGAGGUAGAGCGGCUGAAAUGUAGAGAGAGAGGACGCAGAGCAUUUGUAAUCUCGUGAAGAAAUUGUGGCGAGCAAGAGAGAGAGAGCUUCAUAGUGAAGCUCUCUGGUUCGCAGAGCACGCAUGAGGAUGGGGUAUGACUGAAAUUCCUAGAGCGAAUGAGGAGGCAGAGCGACUGAAAUUUAGAGAGAAAGGACGCAGAGCAUUUAUAGUCUCUCGGAGAGACGAUGGCGAAUGAGAGAGAGGGAGCUUCUCGGUGAAGCUCUCUGGCUCGCAAAGCACUCCGGAGGAAGGGGUAUAGUUGAAAUUUAUGGGGGUUUGAAACUUUUCAGCCAAUGGCAUUAGGGAGUUUCAAAGCGAAGAAGAGCCCUACGAUUUCAUUUAAUUUGAAAGAAAGGACGGCGGAUAUAAGAAAGCAAAAAUAUUGUUCCUUAUUGCUUCGGAAGAAAAUACUGUUCUUUAUCGCUUAUAGACCUUCGGAAGACUUUUAUAUAUAUAUAUAAAAAAAAAACGAGAGAGGGGUUACAGAUAGAUACUGAGAGAAAUGGGAGGCAUGGGAUGCAUAAAAACACCGGGAGAGUGUGAUUCUUUAUUGUUGUUGGUUUAGCAACCAGGGAGGAGUGAGUGUAGGAUUGGGGACCGGGAGGAGGUAUGGGAAGAGAGAGAGAGAGAAAAAUAAUUGUACCUGUAAUGUGAGAGAAGAGAUGCACUACCUAUUUGUCGUUGUGAAAUUUGAUGGCAAGAGGUGUCAGAGAGAGGGGGCUUCGUGUUGCUGAGAAAUUUGGAGGUAAGAGGGGGCAGGAGGAAGUGAGAGAGAGAGGAUUUUCUCCCUGGUUCAGUAAGGGGGAAGAGAGAGCAUGGAUGACAGAAAAAAACAGCAAAAAAAGUUAUCUUUAUAGGAAAAUAAAGGAGAAGUACUAUCACCGUCAACUUCGAUACGAGUAACAUUUAAAUUGUAUCUCGAGAUUUGGAUCAAAAUCCAACAAGUCCAAUAAAAUCAUUACUCUUAUUUAUUUAUUUAAGAUUAGCUGGAUAUUACAGACAUCGCCCAAAUGUUGAUGUCUUAUAAAUAGUCAUAAAUUUUACAGGAGAGAGCAUAUACCUCAAGGAGUUUAUAAUCUUUGAAUCAUAUUUGUAUUUGCUUUUUUAUAUGAGAUUUUAUGAUAUUGUUAUUUACCUUUAGUACAAGAGUGUCAUAAUUAUUUAUAAUUAUCCAAAUGUGAAAUCUAAUAGCUUGGUUAUGUUAUAAGGUUAAAAAAAACUUCUUUUGAA